GACAAACGCUGGCGGGGUGCAUGAGACAUGCAAGUCGAACGAGGUGCCAUCGGGCUUGCUCGAUGGUUACCUAGUGGCGGACGGCUGAGUAACGCGUAGGUGACCUACCCGGAAGUGGGGAAUAACUGCCCGAAAGGGUGGCUAAUACCGCAUGUGGUCGGCGAUUCGAUUCGCCGUCUAAAGGAGAAAUCCGCUUCCGGCGGGGCCUGCGUCCGAUUAGCUAGUUGGUGGGGUAACGGCGUCACCAAGGCGACGAUCGGUAGCUGGUCUGAGAGGAUGAUCAGCCAGACUGGGACUGAGGACGGCCCAGACUCCUACGGGAGGCAGCAGUGGGGAAUCUUGCGCAAUGGGCGAAAGCCUGACGCAGCGACGCCGCGUGA
rnacentral:rRNA from 1 species